rnacentral:rRNA from 1 species
AUUGAACGCUGGCGGCAUGCUUUACACAUGCAAGUCGAACGGCAGCGCGGGCUUCGGCCUGGCGGCGAGUGGCGAACGGGUGAGUAAUGCAUCGGAACGUGCCCAGUAGUUGGGGAUAGCCCGGCGAAAGCCGGAUUAAUACCGCAUACGACCUGAGGGUGAAAGCGGGGGACCGAAAGGCCUCGCGCUAUUUGAGCGGCCGAUGUCGGAUUAGCUAGUUGGUGGGGUAAAGGCUUACCAAGGCGACGAUCCGUAGCUGGUCUGAGAGGACGACCAGCCACACUGGGACUGAGACACGGCCCAGACUCCUACGGGAGGCAGCAGUGGGGAAUUUUGGACAAAGGGGGCAACCCUGAUCCAGCCAUGCCGCGUGCGGGAAGAAGGCCUUCGGGUUGUAAACCGCUUUUGUUCGGGAAGAAAUCCUCUGGGCUAAUACCCCGGGGGGAUGACGGUACCGGAAGAAUAAGCACCGGCUAACUACGUG